CUCCGGUCCGCCGCAGCGGGCCGGGUGGGGUGGGCUCGCGGCCUUGGCGACGCAGGUGGCCGAGAUGGAGGAGGAAGGCGAGGUCCGGGUCACGUCCCGGGUGUGGCGUUUCCUGUAGUAGGCCAGCGAGAAAGCUCGAACGAAAUCAUAUCUCUUGCAACAAAAUGCUGGCCUGGUGAACCAAUUGUGUCAUUACGGAUGCAAGAUCCUUGACAACUCUAGCUAGGACUUGGAGACCUGUCUAUCAUGGGUGCUUUGGCAGAGAAGGAUUUCAGAGACUCCCGAAAAAACUGAGAGUAUAUAUCCUAUGUACAAUGUUCGCUUUAGAAUCAACCAGCAGAAAAAGAUGGGAGCCAUGAACAGCCCAUGAACAGUAAUUCUGAAACUGUACCAACCAAGAUGGCAACCUCAGGUAACAAAAGAUUAUGCCAAGAAAACAUCACAAUUUUACAGCUAUAUUCAGUAGACUAUCAUUCUCCCGAUUAAUUUUAUUUUCUUGUAAGGGUGAAGUUCACCAUCACGUCAGUGGAAACCAACUAGCUCAAAAAGAGGCAACAAGAGUUUCUCAAGAUGAACUUACGGUAGCUUUGCAGUGACAGAACGCUAGAUGACAUGAAGUGAUAUUGGCUCGGCUCACCUCUGGUGCUCGUGCAGUUUGCUGUCGCUGCGAGAUGAGCCAAGUCAAUACCAUGCCAUGUCUUCUCAUUCUUUGCUCUUGGCUCUCUUCGCCUGAAUGCUCCUUCACUCCAUCACUUGGGUCCCUUUAUAGAGCAGCCAUGAAUAGUUUAAGAUGACAGUUGUCUGUUUGUCAUGCCUGGUGCAGGGCAGGCUUGAGAUGGGAGACAAUAGACGCUGACCAGUCCAAUGAACAGGCACUGGAAUGGACCGUCAGCUGAAACAGCUGGAAAUUCGAUCGGAAUCCAGAAUCUAUCAAACAAGUGCACCCAUUCAAAAGGGCUUGGAAAUAUCCUCAAGAGUCCGGUUCUUGCUGGCGAGAAGGCAACAAAGUUGGAGCUGAAGUGUGCUGCGAAAACGAAGCCUCCAUUUUCAUUGCUUUUGACAGGGUCAGUGACUAGUUUUUCAGGCCGGCCGUGUGUUGUCCCCUUGUGAAUCGGUCGGGAUAACUUAGAAUAGCUCGGCCAAAGCAAACCGACCAUUGUUAAAAUUCACUGGCCUCAACUAACAUAGUUUUUUGUUUUUUAGAUUAAACAUAGUUUUUUUGUGGGAGGCUGCUAUGCUGCUGCCUCACCACAACUAUCACGUUACAUGUUACUUAAUCUGGAAAUGUCAUGUAGUGUGACAAACUUGUACAGGUUGUCCUGUAACCGUGUGCAUUUUGUCCUACUUUUUCAGUUGUUCAGAUUUGGAUUAGAUAUAUUCCUUCCUCUGA